AAGUGAGAAGCAAAAUUUGCAAUCAGUUUCGACCUGAUCUUAGAUAAAUCAAUUUAUCCUCACUUU
rnacentral:tRNA from 3 species